rnacentral:tRNA from 1 species
GAGGGUAUAGCUCAGUGAUAGACUGCUUGCCUGUCUAACAUGCACGAGGUCCUGGGUUCAAUCCCCAGUACCUCCA